ACGCGACCCGCGGUGCGCGCCCGGCUCCGCGCUUCGGUGCUCCUCGUCGUGGCGACGCUCGUUCCGCCGCUCCGCACCAUCUCUCCUCGAUCGCGCCGGAGUCAGACGCGCGCCGGGCGAGACGCGAGCCGGUCGGAGCGGCUCUGGGCUGAAAGCCGCGCCUCUGACGGAGCGUUAUUAGCGCCUCAUGCAUAUGGAUUCAUCCCUCAAACUUCGGAGUCUGGCUCAAUUACAGGAACGCUCCGUCGAGCCGAACCGGGCCACCCGCUGCGCCCGGCGCUGUGCGGGGGGGGCCGUCCGCCCGGCGCUGCCACUUUGAAGCAACGUCUGGAAUUCUGUCCUAAUGAGAGCUUUCCUUCUCGUAUACCCAUUUUUCUGUAACUGCACCUUUGCCGCUUUGAAGAUUCUUCCAAACUUUAAUACGAAAGGAAGAGAAAGACGAGGCGCGGCGCGGGGCGGUGCGGGGCGGUGCCCUCAGCCGCAGCCUCGGACCGGGAGCCCCGGCACAGCGCCGUGUGAGCGGCGUCCUGCCGCGGGCAGCCGGGGCCUCUCCUGGAGACAGACGGGGCGCGUGGAAGGAGACCGAAACGCGAAGCACCGCUGCGGGCACACAAGCCGCGCUCCGGGCACCGCCCGCUCCCCACCGCGUCCCGGCGGCGCGGAGAGGUGGCCCUCGGCGUGACGCUCCGGAGGGGCCCACGUGCGCGGUCGGGGAUGGAUGUGAAGAUGCAAAUAAAAGGAGUGAGGGGGCGCGGCCGGACCGAAUCCGUUCCCGGAGCCAAUCGGCCGACGGCUCCGAGGGCCGCGUGCCGCCCUGAGGACCUCCGCCGCUCCGUGCUGGGCGGGGUUCUCGAGGCGUCCGUCUGCCCCCCGUGCCUCCCGGUGCUCCCAUCUCCCUAUUGCUUUCUGUAGGGCGGACGCGGCACUGCGAUGCCGCUGCCCGGGGAACGCCCUCGGGUGCUCCGCGCCCGCCUCACCCCGCUGCUCCGGGAGGAACGCAGAGCCCCGCCGGACUGAGCUGCCACUCCGAGCACCGAGACGUUCCCUCUCACGCAGUAUUUAAGUCCCUUUCACGCGGUGUUCAAAUUCCCGGCGUUCUUGCCUCCUUCUCCGGUGGUCCCACUCUCUGCUUCGAAGUUUGCACAUUCCGACUGCAGUACUGCAGCAGUUAAAGGCCCGGCGCUUCCACCAGAGAAGAACGAGGCAUAUUUUUUAGCAGCCACGCUGUUACAUGACUUCAUCUGCAGGCAGCAAAUUAGCGUCUUCCUGCUUGUGCCACUGAUCUGUUCUUAUUUUGGAGCGCAACCAUCCAACAUGUUCCAUUUGCACCUUUCCUCCGUGCCGCGGCAGCGCUGCUGGGAGCCGCUUCCCACCGUAAGCUGAUUUAACUCCAAGGGAUGAUACAUCCCUAAUGAGAAAUGAAGGCCCACUGGAGAGCACGCGGAAAUUCCCAGCCAGGCCAAUGAGAGCCGCGCCGCAGCGCUGUGUGGGUGUGCGGGGAUGGCCCCGGAUCACUGUGGGGUCUCAGCCUGCGCGGGGAACGGUGCAGAGCUCCGUGUGUUGGGGUGCCGGGGGGAUCAGUGGGCCUGAGCUCAUUGCUGGGAUCUGGGCGUGAGCACCACAACAGCUGCUGGUGGUGAAGGUGCGGGCACAUCUCUGUGUAUAGGUGUGUGUCUGCAGAUAUUGUGCAGGCUCGGGGAAGUCUGGCUUAACGGAUGUGGGCAAAGCCCACGCAAGAGGAGCGAGGCUCAUUCGUGUCCAUUUAAAAAUGCUUAACAACAGGCUGUUAGCAAUGGCUGUUCAUCGCAGUUCUCAUUACCUGCCAGCUUCAGUUUGUUUGCUGAGAAUGUCCAGACUUGGCCCUGGCUUGGGGGCAAUGCAUUUGGGAAACGUGAGUGCGGACAGAAAGGUGUGCAAAGAGCCGCUCCAUGCUGAGGACGAGCAACGAGUGGGUUCUGCCUCCUGCCUGCACCCUGUAGGCUGGGGCUGAUCAGGGCCCCCCCACACUGCAUGCUCCUGUGGGCAGGAAGCCAGGGACGUCAGCGUGGGGCUGAUAAGGGCUGUGGGGUGUCUGCAGCAGAUAGGGUCUGCGCUGCUGCCGGGAAGCAGCCUGGCUGCUGCCUGCCCACGCGCUGCAGCAGAGCAGAGCCCAGCGGUGUCCCCAGGGUUGGCUGCUGUGUAUGGCCAUGCCUGAGGGGCCGGUGCCCCCAGCCCGGGGCACACCCUGUGCACUGCCAUGCCCUGUCCCAUCUGGUGGGAGCAGUGCUGCUGUGUGUGUGUCGUACCCGAGCUGACACUUGGCUCUUGACAACACAGGCCGUUGGUGGGCUGGGGCUGAUAGAGGCAAUUAGGGUAUAGAGUACGGCCCCAUAAUCUAUAGAUUACAAUUUUAUGGUCAGCAGUGGGUAACAUGAGAACUCGGAGUACAUAGUCCAUACUGCACAAUACCCAGCAUGACUGUCACGCAUUCCUCUACAGACAAACUGCAUCUUUUCUUCUCCCUCUCUGAUGAAAACUUCCUCAUACCAUAAACCAAAGGGUAACGGAGCUGCAGUUUGGAGUGCCUUCUGAAUUUCAGAGCACGUAAAUGGAUCCUGCUGUGUGCUGCUGCCGUGCUGCACAGUGGAAGUGGCCUCGUGGUCGCAGCCGAGCAGCCGCACUUCGGAGUCUAAAGAUAACAGCGAGCACUGGAGAACUGCUCUCAUUUCAGCACGGGGCACUCCGCCUCCUUCCCAUACUGCCAUUUUAAAUAGAAUCGCCAUUCUCCAUAGGUAAGGUGUUUGGUUUGGCUGCUGGCAGAGGAGGACGAUCCUACCCAGCUGUCAGAGAAUGCUCACAUUUCCCAAACGGCCAGGAAGGCACGAGAGCAGGCACUGUAUAGCAAGGGAGCCAAGCCUUGGGACCUGCUGCCCCGCACACCCUAAGUGCCCUGCUGUGACACGGGUGGGCACUGCCCGGGGUCUGCAGAGCCGGCACUGGGGGUGAGGGCCGUGCCAGGCAGAGCCUGAGCUGCUUGGGCUGGGGGGCUCCUGGGGAUCAACCUUUGCUUCCAGGGCUGGAGCCCCAGCAGCCUGGUGCAGAGACUGCUCUGAAAGCAUACUGGAAAGCACAAUCGGAAUUAUUGAAUCCUUUUGUAAUCUCUAGAAUUUAUCUACGAGAAGUUAAAGAAGGAAAAUUACCUCUGUUAAUGUUCAAACAUGAGCGGGUACGUUUGCUGUUACACAAACCUCUUAAAGUUAUUAAUGAUUGA